rnacentral:rRNA from 1 species
UACGGGGGGUGCGAGCGUUGUCCGGAAUCACUGGGCGUAAAGGGCGCGUAGGUGGCUUUGUAAGUUUGCGGUGAAAGCCCGGGGCUCAACCCCGGGUCUGCCGUGGAUACUGCAAGGCUUGAGUACUGUAGAGGCAGGUAGAAUAUCGGGUGUAGCGGUGGAAUGCGUAGAGAUCCGAUAGAAGACCGGUGGCGAAGGCGGUCUGCUGGGCAGUAGCUGACACUGAGGCGCGACAGCGUGGGGAGAAAACAGG